rnacentral:rRNA from 1 species
GACGAACGCUGGCGGCGUGCUUAACACAUGCAAGUCGAACGGAAAGGCCCUGCUUGCAGGGUCCUCGAGUGGCGAACGGGUGAGUAACACGUGGGUGAUCUGCCCUGCACUUCGGGAUAAGCCUGGGAAACUGGGUCUAAUACCGGAUAGGAGCCAUUUUUAGUGUGAUGGUUGGAAAGUUUUUUCGGUGUAGGAUGAGCUCGCGGCCUAUCAUCUUGUUGGUGGGGUAAUGGCCUACCAAGGCGGCGACGGGUAGCCGGCCUGAGAGGGUGGACGGCCACAUUGGGACUGAGAUACGGCCCAGACUCCUACGGGAGGCAGCAGUGGGGAAUAUUGCACAAUGGGCGCAAGCCUGAUGCAGCGACGCCGCGUGGGGGAUGACGGACUUCGGGUUGUAAACUCCUUUCGCUAGGGACGAAGCUUUUUGUGACGGUACCUAGAUAAGAAGCACCGGCUAACUACGUG